ensembl:lncRNA
GUGCAGUGGGCAGCUCAAGUAUCUGUUUAGGGCAAUGAUUCUCAAACUUCAGUGCUUCAGAAUCACCUGAAAGGGCUUGUUAAAACACAGAUUGCUAGGUUCUAGCAAUCAGAGGUUCUGAUUCAGUAAAUUAGGGGUGGGGCCAGAGAAUUAGUAUUUCUGACAAGUUCUCAGAGGAUGGUGCUGCUGCUGGUUUAGGAUUACACUUUGGGAACCACUGUCUUAGGACACCUGGAUAAAUGGACACCAAGAAAAAAAAGAGGGGCGGGGGUGGGCGGGGAACCCAGAAAGAUUCAUAUUUCAAACAAAGCUUCUAAGUAACUCUGGUGCAAAUCAGAAACUUUUUGAGCUUCCUUACCUUUGCCAACAAAGGUCUGUCUAGUCAAGGCUAUAGUUUUUCCAGUAGUCAUGUAUGGAUGUGAGAAUUGGACUAUAAAGGAAGCUGACCACCAAAGAAUUGAUGCUUUUGAACUGUGGUGUUGGAGAAGACUUGAGAGUCCCUUGGACUACAAGGAGAUCCAACCAGUCCAUCCUAAAGGAGAUUAGUCCUGGGUGUUCAUUGGAAGGACUGAUGUUGAAGCUGAAACUCCAGUACUUUGGCCACCUCAUGCGAAGAGCUGACUCACUUGAAAAGACCCUGAUACUGGGAAAGAUUGAAGGCAGAAAGAGAAGGGGACAACAGAGGAUGAGAUGGUUGGAUAUCAUCACCGACUCAAUGGACAUGAGUUUGGGUGAUGGGUGAAUGUAUCUUGCAUGUUGAACCCUGUGACAGAGAACUUGACCCAUGGAGGGCAUACAAAUAAGAUUGCAAGAAGACCUGUCAGAGUUAUGGAAAUGAAAGCAGUUCUGGGACAGAGACUGGUGGAGAGCCCCAGAGCCGACGUAGACCGAGAGGAAGACGAGGAAUACCCGGAGCAGGAAGAGGCUGGCUGCCGCGGCGGCCACAGCGAAGAGCUCCAUUUGCAGCGUAGCCUCCAGCAGCCGGGACUCCGGGGCAUCUGCGAGGCGCUGCGUUGCCAUGGGAACGCGGCGGCGCCCGGGCGGAACCUAGCGUUUAUUACCUGAGAAUGGGGCGCGGGGACGCCGCGGCCCCUCCCCCCGAUCCCGCACCCCGGCGGGUCGACGCGCAUUCUCCCGGUCCCCGUCAGCUUUGCCGGGAAAGCUGAAAUCAGACGCUGCGCGAAGGACUCUUUGCAAAAGCUUCAGCCUGCUGGCCGAGCCGGACGCCCCGGCUGGAGGCCCCUGCGGGAUCGGCCCGCGCAGCCCUUGCUUUGUCGCCACUUCGGCUCGUCGCCCAGGCCCGGGGUGCGACGCGGGGCGCAGAGAGCCCCAUUCGCUUCGCCGACGCCCUAGGACCACGCCAGGAGUAGGAACGCAGCGCGACGUCCCGCAGAUGCAGACAGAACCCCGACGUGGGCAUUUUUGCAGAACCAUCCCAAAGCCAAGAGGCGUUGACUACUACUACUCGCCCCUCAGGCUCUCUAAGAGGAGGGAGGGAGCAUAAAAGACAUUUACCCCGAGUCCUAGUUAUUGGAACAUGUUUCUAACACCCUGGCUGUCCUAGUGGCUAGAAGCUUAUUGCAGGAAGGUAUUGUUUGCGUAAUUAAUUAAUAGAAACAAUAACUGGGCUCCUGAAACCCGCGCUGCCGGGUGCCGGGCGGAGGGCUGGACGGGAGGUGCUGGCCUGGCCGCUUCGGGAAGUACCGGCAGCGGUACCCGCGGGGCGCAUCCAUACCCAGGCUCACUCAACUUCCACGGUUUACUUAAUUAGGAGAAACGCAGAAAGCGGACGAGCUCUAUUUUACACACCGCACUUUCUCCUGUUGGGUCACUGGCGGAGCCCCUGUCUGCGGAGACAUCCGGGCUCCAUGCCUGGGGUUGAAAAAUCCGCCUCCAGGGAGCGAAGGUCUUGUCGCUCCAGGGUAUAAAUAUUAAUAAGCUGAGAGGCCGGGGCAUAAUUAUCUCUUUUUAAUUGCAACUCAACCAAAAAAUCCAGUCUCCUGCCACUCAGGCCCCACGAAGUCGGGAAUGCUAGGUUUUGGUGUCAGGAGACUCCCUCGGUGCAAAGUCGUUCUUUGUAUCCUCCGCCCAACAUAUAAACCAUAUGCUGCGCCUCUCGGCGUGUUAAAAGCACCCAUGCAGAGAUUUGAGCUGAAGGCCCUUCGCUCGCCUCAUCCCCGGCCGCCUAGUGCGCCCUAUUUGUCCCCCAGCUACCAGGGGACUUGGCCUCUAUCCCCCCUCACCCUACCCCCGACCUCCUGCUACUUAAGCAAUAGUGUGAAGAAUUGAAAGAACUGGGGGCAGCUGCUCCAGGUUUGACCCGAAGGCACCUGUGGCGGCCUCGGCCCAGGUCCUGGGCGAGACCUGCGAGCUGCGGAAGGGCUCGGCUCCGCGGCGCCCGGGAGAGCAGUCCCAGCGUCCCGGGCGCUCCCGAUCGUAGUCCCGGCCAUCCGGUGCCCCGCCAGCCCGCUGCGCUCCUCCCUGUAUCCCUAAGAAGCCGCACGCGCGGUGAAGCGGUGCAGGCCUGCUGAGGAGCCGCUGCUCUGUGGCUCAGCUAGCGCUCCCCAGGGUUGGAGGUUGGGGUGAAUGCGUGGACUGGUACAUGUUCC